GUAACGGCGAGUGAACAGGGAAGAGCCCAGCACCGAAUCCCUCAGGCUUGCCCUGCUGGGACAUGUGGUGUUUAGGACGGACUCUGGGUGGUGCGACUCGUCUGAAGUUCACUUGAAUGUGACUUCAGGUCCAAAGAGGGUGUAAGACCCGUACGGAUGAGAAGCGCCGCUCCUGGUCUGUCCUUGGAGUCGGGUUGUUUGAGAUUGCAGCCCAAAGCAGGUGGUAAACUCCAUCUAAGGCUAAAUACUGAACGCUAGUCCGAUAGUCGACAAGUACCGUGAGGGAAAGUUGAAAAGAACUUUGAAGAGAGAGUUCAAUAGUGCGUGAAACCGUCCAGAGGUAAACGGAUGGAGCCGAAAAAGAUUGCGGGGAUUCAGCCGGACCGCCGGGUGGUGCCUGCCUGGCUGGGAGACCCUUUUUGGGUCCCCGGCCGGGUGGCGUCCGCCUGGUGGUCUGGUGCACUUUCCCGUAGUCUGCGCUUGGACCGCUGAGCUGGCAGCCUGUCGUUGGGAGGUGGUAGCGACCGCUUCGGCGGUUGUGAUAUACUCUCGACACGGGACUGGCGGAGCAGUGUAAAAUGCGACGCGAGUGCUUAAGACACAGGUAAGCUGCCCUGGGUCGGCGGCGCGUUGGGUCGACUACCUGGUAGUUGGCUCGGCGCGUCGCUGGCUUCGGGGCUGGCUAGGCCAUCCGCGUCGAUAGUCUCAGGCGUUAAAGUAGGUAGUCCAUCUGACCCGUCUUGAAACACGGACCAAGGAGUCUUGCACAUGCGCGAGUCAUUGGGCGUUACGAAACCCAAAGGCGUAGUGAAAGCAAAGGUGACUUUGUGCCACUUAGGUAUGAUCCCGAUUCCUUAACUGGACCGGGCGCAAUACCGGCCCGUCCUAUACUGUCUUACAGUGGGGCGGCGCAAGAGCGCAUGUGCAGAAACCCGAAAGAUGGCGAACUAUGCUUGGGCAGGUUGAAGCCAGAGGAAACUCUGGUGGAGGACCGUAGCGAUUCUGACGUGCAAAUCGAUCGUCAGACCCGAGUAUAGGGGCGAAAGACUAAUCGAGCCAUCUAGUAACUGGUUCCCUCCGAAGUUUCCCUCAGGAUAGCUGGUGCACAUCCUCAGUUGUUUCAUCCGGUAAAGCUAAUGAUUGGAGGUAUUCGGGACGAAAUGUCCUCAACCUACUCUCAAACUUUAAAUGGGUGAGAUCUGCGAGUCUCUUAAUUGGACUCGCGGAGGCACUGAAAACGUGUACCUAGUGGGCCAUUUUUGGUAAGCAGAACUGGCGCUGUGGGAUGAACCAAACCACCGGCUAAGGUGCCAAACAGUACGUUCAUGAGAUACCACAAAAGGUGUUGGUUGAUAUAGACAGCAGGACGGUGGCCAUGGAAGUUGGAAUCCGCUAAGGAGUGUGUAACAACUCACCUGCCGAAUCAACCAGCCCUGAAAAUGGAUGGCGCUUGAGCGUGCGACCUAUGCCGGUGCCUGACGGCAAGACUAGUUGUGGCAUAAGCCGUCAGGAGUAGGAGGGUCACCGUGGUGAGCGUUGAAGCUGUCGCCGUGAGGCGAGGUGGAGCCGCCACGGGAGCAGAUCUU
rnacentral:rRNA from 1 species